AGUAGAAAACCUUUUCUAGUUACUGAUAUUAAUCUUUGUUACAGAAUCGCUAUUUCACAGGAAUCACCCGCACUGACAAAUGACGUAACUACGCGUUUAAUCUGCCCCUGUUCCUGCAGGGAACCGCCUGCCCUUUCCGCUGCAGUGACCCCUCUCCCCAGCACGGCCUCCCCAGCGCUGCCGCUAGCCGCAAAUGCGCUUCCUCCCUUUGCAAAAGGAUACGGCGUCUCCUGGGAAACAACGUACGUACUCGUCAGCUUCUGCAGGGUGCUUCCAGUCACUACUCUUCAGACACCUGCCUGCUGAAGGAAUCUUGCCAUGGAAGGCUGAGCAUGGGCUAGAACAACAGCCAUUUUUCUAAGGUGCUUUCCAUCUUCAGGACUUCAUCAAAGGAAGAUAAAAAGCAAAAUUGCAUAAGGAAGGAGCAGCUUCAAAGCGAGAAGGCCGGUGGAUCUGCAGAAUGAGUUUUCAUUCAGAAGUGAGUUUAGAAAUUUCAGUUGAAAACUUCAUUGCUCAACUACGAAGUAUCACAAAUGGAAGAGGCUCAGACCAAGGAUGUGCUUUGGCAGUCUCUCCUAAAUUAGCUGAUCAUGCGAAUUCUAGACAAUUACCCUGAGGAAGCCCCACAGGA